UUCUUACUCGGUGGUUCUACGUACUGAAUGCAUCCACUUUCAGUUUUUUUCUGACCACCCCAACAACCGAUCCAGGAUCAUCUUACACAGCUCAAAUACGAUUGAACCCCGUUUUCUGAAAAAUAUUGCUGACCCGAGGUUGGUACGUUACAUCAGGUAGAAACUAACAUUAUAGGUGUUAUUUACACCAAUCCGCUGCUGUUGAAUCCAGAACGAAGGAAGGGACAAUACGCCUUGUAGCUGCUGUACCGACGGCAAUUUCUGCAAAAUAAACUAUUGGAGCUGCAGAACCUCUAUUUUACCCUCACGUUUGAGUGCUAGGGAUCUGUUUGAGUCUGAAUAAGUCUGAAGUGUAUUCGUUUCAGAAAAACUGAAGACAUGGAGAAGAAAUCAGUUUUCCCAAAUUCCUGACUCGAGAACUGAAUCUACCUCAUCAGGACACAGCACAAUGGAAAUAGAGUACGUAACAGUUGGUCUCGACCCCCAAGUAACUGAAUACAUUGUAGAAGAAGCUGAUGUAGAAUCUAGCUUCUCGCCUACCCAUGUGAAAGCCGAACCUGAUCAAGAUUUUAAUGAAAAUAAUAGUCAGGUACCUUGUCCCAACCUGGCUACUGAAGAAAUUAAAUUGGAGCCAGAUGCAGGUACCUAUGAACACACAGAUGUGUACUUGGACCAAAACUCAGAAGCCACAGCUCAAGCUGAAACUUGCCUUGAGCAGGCCAUUUAUAUCGCUAAGGAGGGGCAACCCGCUGAAGUACUUUACCAGAUUAAAGAUGAAAUGGAAGAAUCGGACUCUGACAUAUUGGGGGUUGGCCGGUUCCAUGCUAAGGGAAAAAAACAAUUGAAAAGGCAGAAAAAAAAGCCAACCGUUAAGAGGAUGAAACCUCUUAGCACUCCCACAGAGUCAGACUUGGCCAACGUUGGGCAUUUACUUGGGCAGGGCGGAGUUCACGCAGGGUUCGAGUCUUACAUUUGCACUGAGUGCGGAAAGAGCUUCAGAGGAAAGGAGAACAUGCUGAAGCACCUUCAGAGCCAUGCGCAGGACGGCUCGCACACCUGCGUCCGGUGCAAGGAGAAAUUUCCGGAUUCUGGAAGCCUACUCAGACACGUGAAGUGUGCACACACGCAUAAAGAAGAAUUCCACUGCUCUCUGUGUGGAACGUACUUUCAGACUGCAAACACGUUUGCCAGGCACAUGAGGAUUCACUCCGGUGAUGAAGUGUUCGUCUGCUCUGACUGUGGGAAGAAUUUCCGCCAUAGGUCUAGUCUGUCGAGACAUCAGCAUAUUCAUAGGCUUGAGGAGGAGGAGGAUUCUUUAAUCCAGUGUGGUUAUAGUAGUAGUAGUAGUACCAGUAGUAUCAGCAGUAGCAGUAGUAGCUCUAGUAGUAGCUCUAGUAGUAGCAGCACAAGUAAUAGUAGUAGCAGAACUUUUCCAUCGCCUGCUAAACGUUCAAAGGCUUUAUUUACAUCACCUAAACUUGUUAUACAUGAGAAGAAGACUCCACCUAAAUCAUUCUUGUGUGUCAAAUGUGGGAAGAGAUUUAAUCAUUCCUCCAGCCUUUCGCGACACAGGCUGACUCACCUGGAGGAUAAAAAACCGUUGCCCAGCAUCUCCACGGAACUGAAAAGCCCCCCCAGGAAGCCGUCGGCGCAGCGAGGAAAGCCUUUCACGUGCACACACUGCGACAAGCGUUUCGCCCACUCCUCAAGCCUCCGCAGGCACGUGCAAACCCACGAGCAGAUGCCGUAUCAGUGCCCCCUUUGCCACAAGGGUUUCCUGACGUUAGCAGCACUCAGCAGCCACCAGAGGUGUCACCAGGACGGCAAGAGUCGGCAAGACAGGAAAGUGCACUCGUGCUUUGAGUGCGGCAAAUCGUUCAGUCAUUCCUCGAGCCUUUCAAGACACCGCCAUACUCACUUGCAGGUGCAACGUGUGUCAGCAGGGCAGUACGUUGACACUAAUUCACUUUCGCUUUUUCAAUCUUCAGUGGAUUUCAUUCCAACGCUCAAUGAGAAAUUGGUGGUGAAACCAUAAGAAGCUUGGAAAACAUGUAAAGGAGUUUGGCUUGCGUCAGAGCUGCCCUUAAAUGUGACACAGUGCUCGGUUCUGUUUUGUUGGUCCUGCUUGGUGUCAGUGUGAUGGUGUCGGACACGAAUCCUGAAAUGGGGGGAGAGAGAGAGAGGCCCGUCACAGCUGGAAUCCCGCGGCUGCGGCGGAACCUUCCGGUCUUCGCGCGGGGCAGCUGCGGGGCAGCUGCGGGGCCCUCCUCCAAGCCCCUGGUUACCGCGGAGCUGCUCUCCGAGGCGUCUGGGCGAGAUCGAGGACGGGUCCGCCGCGCGCUUUCCCCGCCUCCCCAGCAUGCACUGCAAACGCGAGCAGUCGGCGAGCCGCCUUCCUCUCCUGAGAUCUGCGGGCCGUAAGGAAAGCCUGUAAUACUACAUCUGGAGCGGCUCUGAGCUCCAUACUGAGUACUUCCUGUCCAUCUAUUACAGUAUGACAUCAUCACCCGUAUGUAUAUAGUGGUGGGGUAUUAAGGACAGUUUCAGACAAUUGCCUGUAUAUAUAACGUGCUGGGGCAUUAAGGACAGCGAACAGCCUUGUGUCACCUGCCGUCUAUCACAGUGUGCGACUGACCAGGUGGCACUGAGAGCUGGGGCUCAUUUCUAUUUCAGUUCUAUUAAAGACAUUUACUGAAAUUCAAACCUGCUUUCAGUGUUAUUCACGCCAUUAGAUGUAUGUAUAUGGUGGGGAAUUAACACUGAAAGCCAUCGCAUUGCCCUCUACCCCAGUGUCUGACUGACCUCUCAUUAGAGGCACUGGGAGCCUGUUUAUGCACGCACGCCCCGUGUGUCAGUCACUGCCAUUGCUGGGCGUUGCCAUCAUCACCCUGCCCCGCCCCCUGCCUACCCAGGGACUGUGUUUACUGCCCUCUCCAGAGACCCUGAUCUCAGAAACACAGCUGAUGUGUCAAUGCAGGUGCUCCAACACAGGUGUGUCAGAGGUCACAUGUUACACUGACGCAGGUGAGCGCAAUUAAACAAGAAGUAGGGAGCGAGUGUAUGUGAGAGACAGCUGGUGGGGGUGAGAGUGAAUGUGAGCUUGCAGAAGGCCAGAUAUCUUACCCUAUAUAUAAAAUAUAAUUUUCCCUCUGUUGGCCACCUUUUGUGUAUGAGCCAUCUUUCCUUUUAUUUUGGUAAACAUACAGGCAACCUGUGUGUGUGCGAUUCUAAAGCGAAGAGAACAGGUUUGAGCCAGGAUGAACUGGCAAGGCAAAAAUGCAGUUUGGCAGGCUUUGUUAAGGGAGUCGGUUGACCCAAAACAUUUAAUGUUCUUUACAACAACUUUUAUCAGACUGACUUUUGCAAACUCAAAAAAAUCAAUGAUUUGUGACCCAAUUUUUUUUUCAAUGGUAAUUAGAAACAAUAAGAGUUUCCUGUAAGAAGAAGCUACAUAAGCUGGCCAAGGGGGAGUUCUGUUUAAUCCUGUUACUGUAAGAUUUUGACAUUUGUAAUAUUGAUGCCACCACCACUGCCUAUCCAUGGUCUGAAAGAAAGCGGAGUGUGAGGGUGAUCACAGCUUAAGACGCACUUAGUCUGUGGCUAACAGUUCUGCAGCCAUAUACUGAUCAGUGUGGUGUUAAAAAAGCUUUCAAAAGCUAAGGGGAGACCAGGGUCCAAAUGUAAGUAGCAAUUACAAUGGUGGCAGCCUUGCUGGCAUGUGAAUUGUGUGCAUUAGAUCUCAAAUGUGUAACCAGUGUGGAUUGGAAUCAGUGACAUGUUAAACACAGCACCAGUUUAAGUAUUAAUUUACACAAUUGCAAUAAAACCUUUUCUCAUCAGACCAACUGACCUUCUUAUUCCAAGGAUAAUACAAAUGUGCUGUUUUUCACAGAAAAGAUUUUGAAGGCUGUCAGUCAAAGCGACUAUAUAUUGUUCCUGGUAAGAUUAGGAAAUCAUGUAUUCUUUUAAACGUUUUGUGAGCUGCAGGUAUUCACAAAGGCAGAGACUGACUUUAAUAAACAACUAACUGAUAGUUAUUUGUUUACUCACUCCACAUAAGCAUUUCCAUAGUUACCACAUGUGGGUUUGAACAGUGAAAUUUGGAUGUCAGGAAAUGUUUUUUUAAAGGUAACCUGUAGUCAGUGAACUUCAUUGCCUGUAGUAAUGAGGACAAGCUAAGAUAUGCAAGCAUUACUGCCACCUGUUGGUUAAAGAGCAGUAUCCCACAAGGACGAUCAUGCUUCAAAAACUAAAGCACAUACUGUACAUAAGACUUGGCAGUGGGAAGAGACUUUAAACACUGACAUACUGUACGUUUCUGCCUUCAAAAAUAACAUACUUAAACACUAACAUACUGUACUUUUCUGCCUUAUACAGUAACAUAUUGUACUUUUCUGCCUUAAACAGUAACAUACCCGCAAACGUCCCUAAAAGGUCGUGAGUGAGUGAGUGACCACAAUUUUUACAUUACAUUACAUUACAAUUUGCCAUGCAUAGCCCACAAUGCCAGGUCCUGCACGCCGUGGGAAAAAGAAGCUGAGUUACACAUGCUUAGCUUUACUUACUGUGCUUUUCGGCCUUAAACAGUAACAUACUGUACUUUUUUGCCCUAAGCAGUAACAUACUGAACAUUUAGAGGCUUGACCAUGCCAUGUCUCUAGUCUCUGCCAGCCCCAUGCAAAGGCCGGUAAGAGCUCCAAAUGUUGCCCCUGGCAGAAGCAUCAGGGCAGAUAUUAGAUACAACACCCUUGAUGCAAGGGUACUCGGUAUGCUCCUCUUUAGACAAAACCCAGCUCCUCUUGCCUCUACUAAAUGUAAUAUACAAAGCAUAACCCAACUUGUAUGCCUGUUCUACAUAUAUGUGUGUCUCUAAGUGUGUGUGUGUGUGUGUGUGUGUGUGUUGAUUCCAGAACUGUUUAUUCUUUUAAACUGAGACAUCACCCCAUUUUUUCAGCUCUCAGGUGCACAAAGAAAGAAAAAUUAAUGAUGAUACCAGGGUCUAAUCAGUAUUAGCCAAUUAUAGCUAAUAACAAACUUAAACGUUAUAUGCUAUUAGCGGUAUUGGCUGAAAAGCUAAGAUUACGAUGUGAUAGCGCAUCAUACUGUACAUGUGCAAGAAAUCUGACGUGCGAUAUGCGUGAAAACAUCACACUUUUUAUUUUUAUAUUUAUUUAAUAUUUAUUUUCUCACCAGUCAACAUAAUACGCAAUGCUACACAGUGACUCCAUUAUCUUGAAUCAUGCUCUCUGCAUAAUAAUAGUUUUUUUUUAAAUAUUUCAAUCCAGAUUUGUUAGAUUUUCCUUGAUAAAUUGAGAUCUGUGCUCACGUAUGCUUUGGAUGUGGAAAUUUGGUUGUAGUCUACAGUUGUGUUGUAAUGCAUAAUGGCGUUAUUAACAUCAUUAUUGGCCAAGAUUGGUUACUGAUGUAGGCCCAAAAAUGUCCAUACUGUGCUUCCCUAAACAAGCACAGAACCGUCCAGACCCAUGGUGCAACUCACUUCCGCAGACACAUUUUACCUGGCACCACCUGCGCAUGCGUCCCACAAAACGUAGCUCAAAGGUCGUGAGUGAGUGAGUGACCACAUUUUGCCAUGCAUAGCCCACGCGGGAAAAGAAGCUGAGUUACGCAUGCUUAGCGUUCUAUCCAACCAGGGGUGGACUGGAACCGGAAGGAUGUCGUCUAUGGAGUUAUAGAGGCUGAACCACAAUUUUUGACCACCCCAACAACCGAUCCAGGAUCACCGUACACAGCUCAAAUACGAUUCAACCCCGUUUUGUGAAAAAUAUUGCGCUGAUCCGAGGAGCUGCUGAACCUAUAUUUUACACUGACAUUGGAGUACAAGGGACCUGUUUGAGUCUGACAGAAGACAGGAAACUGAGAACAGGGCAGAGAAAUCAGGCUUUCCAAAUUCCAAACUCAAGAACUGAAUCUACCUCAUCAAGACAUAACGCAAUGGAAAUUGAGUAUGUAACCAUCGGCCUUGACCCCCAAGUAACUGAGUACAUUGUAGAAGAAGCUGAUGUAGAGACUAGCUUCUCGCCUACCCAUGUGAAAUCUGAACAUGAUCAAUAUUUUAAUGAAUGUAAUAGUGAGGUACCUUGUCCCACCCUAGCUACUCAACAAUUUAAAUUGGAACCACAUUCAGGUACCUAUGAACACACAGAUGUGUACUUGGACCAAAACUCACAAGUGACAGCUCAAGCUGAAACUUGCCAUGAGCAGGUCAUUUAUAUCGCUAAGGAGGGGCUACCCGCUGAAGUACUUUACCAGAUUAAAGAUGAGACGGAAGAAUCAGACUCUGACGUAUCGGGGUGUGGCUGGUUCCAGAGCGCUCCUACAGAGGUCGGCUUAGCUAAUGUUGGGCUUUUGCUUGGAGAAAGCGGAGUUCCGGCAGGGUUCGAGUUUUACGUGUGCACUGAGUGCGGAAAGACCUUCAGAGGGAAGGAGAGCGUGCUGGAGCACCUUCAGAGCCACGCGCAGGACGACUCGCACACCUGCAUCCAGUGCAAGGAGAAAUUUCCGGAUUCUGGAAGCCUACUCAGGCACGUGCAGUGUGAGCACACGCAUAACGAGGAAUUCCACUGCUCUCUGUGCGGAAUGCGCUUUCAGGCUGCCAAAACCUAUGCCAGGCACAUGAGGAUUCACUCUGGUGACAAAGUGUUUGUCUGCCCUGACUGUGGGAAGAAUUUCCGCCAUAGGUCCAGCCUGUCGAGACAUCAGCAAAAGCAUAGGCACAAGCCUGAGGAGGAGGAGGAUUCUUUAACCCGGUGUGGUUUUAGUCGUAGUAAUAGUACCAGUAGUAUCAGCAGUAGCAGUAGCAGUAGUAGCACUAGUAGCAGCACAAGUAAUAGUAGUAACAGAACUAUUCCGUCGCCUACUCCAUUACCUAAGCUAGUCAUACAUGGGAGGCAGAAGAAGACUGCACCUAAAUCAUUCUUGUGUGUCAAAUGUGGGAAGAGAUUUAAUCAUUCCUCCAGCCUUUCGCGACACAGGCUGACUCACCAGGAGGAUAAAAAACCGUUGCCCAGCAUCUCCACGGAACUGAAAAGCUCCCCCAAGCAGCCAUCGGCACAGCGAGGAAAACCUUUCACGUGCACACACUGCGACAAGUGUUUUGCCCACUCCUCAAGCUUCUACAAACACGUGCAAACUCACGGGCAUAUGCCGUAUCAGUGCUCCCUGUGCCACAAAGGUUUCCUAAAACUAGCAGCCCUCAACAGCCACCAGAAGUGUCACCAAGGCCGCAAGAGACGCCAAGACAGGAAAGUGCAUUCGUGCUUUGAGUGCGGCAAAUCCUUUAACCAUUCUUCAAGCCUUUCGAGACACCGCCAUACUCAUUAGCAAGUGUUAGCGCCUGAGCAAUGUGUGUUAGCUGGGCCGUACGUUUGGCGCUAAUUGCGAGUCUUCGUUGUCACCUUUUCAGUCUUCAUUGGAUUUUAUUCAUUCACUCUCUGAGAAAUUGGUGAUGACACUGUAAAUCUGGCUUAGGUCAAAACUGCCCUUAAGUGGGACACAGUGCUUUGUUCUUUUCUGGUGGUCGUGCAUGGUGUCAGUGAGAUAGGUAUCAGACACAAAUGUAAGUUUAAUCUUUAUUAAGGAGAUGUUUACCUUUAAUAUUGUGCUGAAGUUAAAUGCCUACUGUAUAUAGCUAAUUGCUAUGUAACUGCAAACAAGGGCUAUUAACCGCUAUGCAGUGGCAUAUUACUGCAUAAUUUAUCAAAAUACAUUAAGGCAGUGGUAUCCAAACCUUGUAUUUGGAUAUCUACCAUCCUGUAGAUUUUAAUUUCAACCCCAAUAGGUGUGUUACAGUUUGUAGUUCUAAGACGCGGAAGUAAGUUGCCAUUCUCGAGCCGCGGGUUCUUUCGUCAGAUUUCCAAUGCAUUUUUCCCAUAGGGAUUUCGUUUUCUCCGAAAGUAAGGUCUGCGGUGAAUGUAAUGUUCACGUAUUGUUAUACGAAAUAAAUUACACCCAUUAAUAUCACCACCGUGGAUUUUAAAAGCUGUUAUGUGCUUUUAAAAAGUAACUUGCUAUAUUGAAACUACAACAAUGGUUGCAUUCUGCCAACCGUCACUCUAGUUUCCAUACUAGCCCGCCUGCACGCGACAUUCGUAGUGUAAUUUUCUCGUAGAACAAAACGUGAAACUGUCUUUGGCAUGUGUUAAACACAUACCUUUAGGCAGAAAACGAAAUCCCUAUGGGAAAAAGCAUUAGAAAUCUACCGAGGGAACCCAUGGCGAAAGAAACGUCCCGUUUAGCCUACAAAAAGACGUCUUUACUGUAACAUUAUUUGCCACACCUGACUCUACUAAUCACCACCUCAAUGCAAAUUUUUAGCUGCUGAAUGCAGUGUACUUUGUUAGAGUUGGAGUGAAAAUCUACACGAUGAUAGAUCUCUAGAAACAGGGCUGAUCACCUCUGCAAGUAGGGUUUGGGUUGAUUUAGUGUUGUAAAGUUCAAUUUUGAGUUCAAAAUUUGCUUGUAGUCCCAAGUCCUUGGGAACUGUAGUUCCUGAUGAGUGGACAUCUUGGAAUGUAGUCCAUAGAGAGACAACCAGUAUUCAGAGAAGCAGCCCUAUAUGCUGUCAACAGCAUGUCCAAUGUUUUUUUCAUUUUCCUUUAUGAAACACUAACUUAUGAAGGGGAGCCUAAAAUGAUUAAGUCACUGUAAAUUGGAGUAAAUUCUCAGUAAACUGUAGAUCCAAUUUUUUAUUUUAAAGUCAGAAAGCAACAAUAGCUGUGUUGCUGUUGAAUAUAAUUUCCCUCCUACUGCCUCUUCCCACUUGAAGAGUUUUCUUUUUGUGACAUUCUGUGCCUCAGUUGCAGGUUAUAAUUACUGAUUCAUGGCCAAGCUAGUUUUUGGGUCCUCUGUGAAUGCAGUAGGAAAGUGUGUCACAAGAUGGCAGCAGCACACUGUAAGUGAAAAGGAAUAACCUUUCUUGAGGACAUCGGAAGGUGAAAAGCGUUGGCAUUCCGUGAAAGUGUUGUAAAAUAUAAUAUAGCUGUAUCUUAAUCAGUAGUUAACAUGCUUAGUUAAACAGGCAUAUUAUUCAUCCUUUAGAUAAUUGUCCUUAGUUUUUAACUUUGUUCGUUCGUUUUUUUUUGUUGUUUUUUUUCUGUAUGAAUGAUUCUCAGAAGUGUAUCGAAAUAAAAGAAGACGAUGGACGUGUCGGAAGAAAGGCUACUGUUUUGUCUGUUCUGUCUUGGUUCUGCUCUGGUCCUUUAACGUCAUUGUGUUCCACGGUCCAUUCAGCAGGCGGCGUACCGCCUCGAACUAGUUAACCACCCGAACGUCCGAAAGAUACUCUUCACAACGACUGAAAAAAGUCAUGUCAUCGCAGACUGGAAAAUGACUGGUAUGAAAAGUGCCCAUUAUUAGGAGCCUCAGAAUGCAAAACAAAAAGCCGGGGACCCCAGUGUGCCACUGUUUCCAUGGAGACGUGAAAACAGUGCUGUGGGGCUUCUGUUCCCUUUGAAAUGAGUCUGGGAGAGAUGAGGAGGAGGGAGGGAGGGGGGGGGGGCAGAUCAGCAGGAAUUUGGACACCUUAAAAACAAAUUUGUAAUCCUUCACACUCUUUUUUUUUUUUUCUUCUUCUUCUUGCUCCCCAAAAGAAAAUGUUUGCAUGUCUGGUUUAGUUUGUUGCUUGAGGAAGAUUUCUUUGCUCUGGGACCUGAGGACGUUCAGUACUUCCCUUGAAUGUUGUAAAAAAAAAAACCCACAUUGUUCAAAUCAAUCAAUGCUAAGUAAUGCUGAGAAUUUAAAAGUAACAAUUAUAGUCUCUGCACUUUAACUCCCUUUGAGUCAAAAUGCAUAUGUUUAUUUUAAAAUAUGAGGCAGUUUUUUUUAAUUAUUUGGCACUUUGAUGUAACACACAGUUGGAAUGGCGACUCCCUUUAGAGUGUAAGAUGAAAAAACAGUGCCAAGUUACAUUAAAUAAUUUAGGAAACAUUGGGCAGUAUUGCUUUGGAAUAAAUCUUGUUUAAUUUGUGUGAGCUAAGAUAGCCAAUAUCGUUCAUUGCAACUUGCCCUCAUUUUCGUAAAAAUACUUUUAAUGGCGGGCCUAGAUUUUGCAAGUUUUAAUUAAAGAAACACGGAGGUGUGGAUUCAG